rnacentral:rRNA from 1 species
AUGGCUCAGAACGAACGCUGGUGGCAUGUCUAUACAUGCAAGUCGAGCGAGGCAGCAAUGCCGAGCGGCGAACGGGUGAGUAACGCGUAAGCAAUCUGCCCCAUAUCAGGAAAUACCCGUGCCAACGCGCGGUUAAUGUCCAGGAGAGUGGCCCUCUGCAUGGAGGGUUGACUAGAGAUUUAUCGGUAUGGGAUGAGCUUGCGUCCGAUUAGCUAGUUGGCGGGGCAACGGCCCACCAAGGCGACGAUCGGUAGCCGGCCUGAGAGGGUGAUCGGCCACAUUGGGACUGAGAUACGGCCCAGACUCCUACGGGAGGCAGCAGUAGGGAAUAUUGCACGAUGGGGGAAACCCUGAUGCAGCAACGCCACGUGUGGGAAGAAGCAUUUCGGUGUGUAAACCACUGUCAUGAGGGAAUAAGGCCCUUAUUCGUAAGGGAUUGAAUGUACCUUGAGAGGAAGCACCGGCAAACUUCGUGCCAGCAGCCGC